rnacentral:rRNA from 1 species
GAUGAACGCUGGCGGCGUGCCUAAUACAUGCAAGUCGAACGCUUCACUUCGGUGAAGAGUGGCGAACGGGUGAGUAAUACAUAAGUAACCUGGCAUCUACAGGGGGAUAACUGAUGGAAACGUCAGCUAAGACCGCAUAGGUGUAGAGAUCGCAUGAACUCUAUAUGAAAAGUGCUACGGGACUGGUAGAUGAUGGACUUAUGGCGCAUUAGCUUGUUGGUAGGGUAACGGCCUACCAAGGCGACGAUGCGUAGCCGACCUGAGAGGGUGACCGGCCACACUGGGACUGAGACACGGCCCAGACUCCUACGGGAGGCAGCAGUAGGGAAUUUUCGGCAAUGGGGGAAACCCUGACCGAGCAACGCCGCGUGAAGGAAGAAGUGAUUCGUUAUGUAAACUUCUGUCAUAGAGGAAGAACGGUGGAUAUAGGGAAUGAUAUCCAAGUGACGGUACUCUAUAAGAAAGCCACG